CAUCCAAAGGUCCCAGAGCGACAGCCGUGACACUAGCCGUAUGACCAGUGAAUACAUGAAUACAUUUAUAAACAUUAUCUUCAAUGUUUAAAUUCCAAAGACGCACAGUAUUAUCUUUAGCACCAGUUGCCAACCAAACACCAUCUUCAGAUGAAUCCAAAGUAAGGACUAUAUCAGUAUGACCCUCAAGCACCCCAAAGACUUGUGUACCGUCUGUGGAAAUAACAUCUAUAAACUCGGUAUUACUGCAAACAGCCAAAUGAUCGUCUCCAAUCCAAGCACAAUCGAUGACUUCAUCAAAAGAUCCGUUGAGUUUUUUAAUGGUAAUAAAGCCUUCGCCAGGAACUCUCUUACGCAACAAGAGACUUAAAUCGGAAUGUACAGACAAAAGUGUGUUUUCAGAAAAUGGUACGACUUGUAUAAUUGCAUUCGUUUCUGAAUGAGUAGUAUCAACACCUGGAUCAAGUCGGGAACCAGAUUUCCAAUCCCAUGCUAAAAUAAGAUUACCUUCACCAGCUGUAUACAAAAUUUUUUCUUCAGGCUGUCCAUUGACCCAACCUAUGGCCUCGACGCUAUGGAAAACAGGAAUCGUUCUGACUGCAGAACGCUUCUUAAUAUUCCAAACCUGAACCGUUUUAUCUCUAGAUCCACUGAGAAGAAAUGAACCAGUUGGUUCAAAUGUCAAUCCACGAAUAACACUGCUAUGACCUUCGAAAACAGCCAUGGAUCGACUAGAGUUUAAAUCCCACAAUCUGACUCGAGAAUCAUCGGCACCAGAAGCCAAAACCCAAGUAUUUUGAUGCUUGCCAAAGCAUAAUGCACUAAUGACACCGCCAUGACCCCGAAAACUAUGAGUUACAUAUGCUCCAGCAAUGUCCCAUACUUUUACUAAUCCCUCAGCACCUCCCGUAGCUAACAAUGUAUUAGUGGGAUCUAUUGUCAUCGUAAUUACCGGAGUUUCAUGAGCUUUCAUCGAUUUUAUACGCCGUCCGGAAGGAAUCUCAUAAAUAGUAAGUAGUCUCGACCGAAAAGCCGCAAUAAGUUUUUUUGAAUCGCUAGUUAUCGCCAAGGCUGUAACGUAAUCGUCCUCAUCCUUUUUUAUAGAAAAAAGACGCUCUCCAGUCUCACUACGGGUUCCAAUUAUACGAUCAGUUAAAGCAGUAACAAGAAUCUUCUCAUUAGAGUCG